CCUACGGGGGGCCGCAGUGGGGAAUAUUGGACAAUGGGGGGAACCCUGAUCCAGCCAUGCCGCGUGUGUGAAGAAGGCCCUCGGGUUGUAAAGCACUUUCAGUGAGGAAGAACGCCUGGUGGUUAAUACCCAUCAGGAAAGACAUCACUCACAGAAGAAGCACCGGCUAACUCCGUGCCAGCAGCCGCGGUAAUACGGAGGGUGCGAGCGUUAAUCGGAAUUACUGGGCGUAAAGCGCGCGUAGGUGGCUUGAUAAGCCGGUUGUGAAAGCCCCGGGCUCAACCUGGGAACGGCAUCCGGAACUGUCAAGCUAGAGUGCAGGAGAGGAAGGUAGAAUUCCCGGUGUAGCGGUGAAAUGCGUAGAGAUCGGGAGGAAUACCAGUGGCGAAGGCGGCCUUCUGGACUGACACUGACACUGAGGUGCGAAAGCGUGGGUAGCAAACAGGAUUAGAUACCCUGGUAGUC
rnacentral:rRNA from 1 species